UUUGCCACCUCGCCUUUCUUGAUUUUCUCCUCGUCUUCGGAGGAGCUCGAUUCAUCCCACUUUGUGUUCUUCUUCUUUGGCCUCUUCCUUCGUUCAAGUUUAUUGUUUAUUUUAGAUUUUUGUUUAAUAAACUUAUUAAGAUUUAGUGUUCGAAGUUCAAGUUCAUCAUUGUCCUCAUCACUUGAGUCAUCGCUCAAGUGGUAUUC
rnacentral:lncRNA from 1 species